rnacentral:misc_RNA from 1 species
AAGUCGUAACAAGGUUUCCGUAGGUGAACCUGCGGAAGGAUCAUUACAAAUCCAUUUUUUUUUUUCUUUUAAGGUGCCAGCUGAGCGGAUGGACGUUAAGGUUUCACAACCUUGUCCUUCUGCUCGCUGCCCUUAAGGGAUUAAAAAAAAAACCAAAUACCUCAAAACACCCUUUGUGCACUGUUGAAACGGCGUCAACGAGGGAAAACAACCUUUCCCCCCGUAGGCGUCUACCCAUUUCAAACGCUUUAUUUUUGUUUUGCCUAAAGGUUUUGAAAACCCAAGUGAUUUAAAUAAAUCUAAAAUACAACUUUUAGCAACGGAUCUCUUGGCUCUC